GGGGCAGUGGAUUAGUCAGGAAGAGCAAUAGCCUGGAACUCUAGAAGUCUGGGUUUAAAUCCUGGCUGGCCCC
rnacentral:tRNA from 1 species